ensembl:lncRNA
CUUUGUCACUGCUCCAUGCUCUGUGAUGCAGGCCUGGAACAUUCUAGAAUACAGCACACAUCUCAGUGCCCUGUUGUCUGAGGCAGUAGUGAGCUUCAGGCCUCAGAUGAUGGACACCUAUCUCCUUUCUGAGGAGAGUGAGUGAGCCACGGGUCAUCAAUUCCAUCAUUUACUUCCUGUGUGUGGCUAGGCUCCUCCUUCUGUCAUCCUUCUUCCAAAACGGAGCCAUUUGCUACCAGUCUUCAGAAUAAAGGAGACAUCAACCAGAGCUUGGAGUUCUCCGUGGACACUGAGCCCAUGUAGUAAAGGUAGGAGGGCUCCCGGCGUGGUGUAUAACUCUGCCAUGGUAUAAAGCACUUUCCUUGUUCACUUCAGUCUUCAGAAGCGAAGAUUCUAUUAGUCCUUACCAACAGCAGGCCUGGCACGGGUGAUGGUGAGGGACAACAUUUGCUUCCAACCAUUGGUGGUUGUAGACGGGAGCUGCCCCACGCCAUGGGUUCCAGGCCAGCCCUCUCUUCUGAAAGGUAGUGGUUUGACUUGGAAUGAGAUGCUCCUGCACCUGCCAAGUUCAACACACAGCGGAGACAAACACAGCUCUAUCCCCGAGAGGCCCUGCCUAAGGCAAGGCACAGACAGGGCAGUUCAUCUGGCGAACAAGGCAAGUGGGGCCAGGCUCCAGGGCAGCCAGAUGGAGGUGGGGAGAGGGCGGUCAGAGGGUGUGAGGGGCUGCAAAGUGAGGCUCUGCGAGAGCAGACGGUGGGUGGAGUUCCCACUGCUGACCACCUCCCUUUUCCAUCUAGAUACUUUCCCUUUGGCCUUAAAAUCACCCCAUAAGGUUUGAUUGAUGUCUUUUGUUGUUUUAACUGGUCCUCCUCACGGAGGGUUUUCAGAAAGAAAGGCAGUGUUUCCAGGAGCUGGAGCAGCCUCAGAGGGAAGCAAGCUCUCCCACACCCACUCCCUUCCUCAGCAGGCUCCAGGCGGCCCCCUGGGCUACAGCUCAGCCAAAGACCUUCCCCUCCUCCCCUGGCUUCCGCCCUUUCUCUGUCACCAUUUCACCCAAGGCAGAAAAAUCACCACAUUUAAAAGAGAUUCAGCCCAACCCAGUGAUGUCCCUGGAAUGUGGAAGAAAGGGCUGCUAGGAUGUUCAACAGCUCUGACUCUGUGACCUGGAAGAGGGGGCUAGAGCAGACCACAGAUACACCACUUCUGGAUGGUUCCUAGCCCCCACAUAUAACCGCUGGCUUUGGCCUCUUUGAAGAGCUGUUUAAAAGUCUCCACAUUUAGCUGAUUUGAGUUUGGGGGUGCUCUUCUCUAAUAGAGAUGAAUAAAAUAUCCAAGGUCGCCCACCUGGACAGCAGGCACCUUGAUAACAGAGGGUCUGUAGGGCCCAUUUCUAGAUCCAGUUGAAGCUGAUCUGGGACAGUAAGUGGCUUUAUAGUUACAGGUGAGCUUCAUUAAUUAUUACAAAAUUACUAGUUACACCGGCCCUGACACUUCUAAUAGCAACUUAAUGGUUGUUUAUUAAACUUUCUCCAAUUAUGGCUGCUUAGCAUAUUCAAAGGCUAGGAAAAUACCCCCCAGAUAACCAUGGGAAGAGAAGACAGGCACAGGUAUCAUGGGCAACUUUAUUGGCUUAACAAAGAUCUCAGGAAGAGAGCAAACGCAAAUGAAGGUGAAAGCCAUCCUUUACAUAAACAAACCAUGGACUGACAAAAACGCUAAAAUACCAGACGUACGGAGGAGCCCGCUGCACAAUAUCCAAGAACUCCCUCCCUCGUCUAAGUAACUUAAAAUACUGUAACAUAUGCUUUGCACUUGGACUCAGUAUUAUAUAAUUCCCAUUGUGGUGACAAGCAACCUCUCAUAUGUACACAUUAUUUACAAGAUAAUGAACACAAAACCCUAUAUUCUGUACACUCUGGGCGAGUUGAGUGAUUUUAAUCCCUAAUAUUCACCAAGCUUAAUUUUCACCUUAUGCUGUCUUUCAACUGUAGUAUUUGAAUAGAGAUGGGAUCCUAUUGUGCUACCAGUAAUAUCUGCUUUGAGGUUUUACUGCGUGUCAGGCACUUUACAUACGUAUUCAUUUAAUCUGGAGACUAGCUCUUGGGUUUUGUUAUCCCCAUUUUACAGACAAGGCACUGAGGUUCUGAAAGGCUUAUGUAACAUGCCAAGGUCAUAGAGCUAAAAAUGCCCAAAGCCAAGAUUGGUUAAAAUGGACAUCAACCUACAGACGCCAUGGCUUAAUCACUACGCCAUGCCCCCCUAGUUUGACAGUCAACUAAUUUGUUGACCAUUGAUUUAAAGCUUUAGCUCUCCAAUUUAGUUUUCUGAUUUGGAGGGAGAAGAUACUGUUGGGGCACCUCCUGGCCCCCUCAGAUCCCUUUUACUGUUUCUGUGUUCCCCUCCCCCAGCUUGCCUUGUAUUAGUUUCCUAUUGCUUCUGUAACAAAU